rnacentral:rRNA from 1 species
AGUGAACGCUGGCGGUAGGCCUAACACAUGCAAGUCGAACGGCAGCACAGUAAGAGCUUGCUCUUACGGGUGGCGAGUGGCGGACGGGUGAGGAAUACAUCGGAAUCUACUUUUUCGUGGGGGAUAACGUAGGGAAACUUACGCUAAUACCGCAUACGACCUACGGGUGAAAGCAGGGGAUCUUCGGACCUUGCGCGAUUGAAUGAGCCGAUGUCGGAUUAGCUAGUUGGCGGGGUAAAGGCCCACCAAGGCGACGAUCCGUAGCUGGUCUGAGAGGAUGAUCAGCCACACUGGAACUGAGACACGGUCCAGACUCCUACGGGAGGAAGCAGUGGGGAAUAUUGGACAAUGGGGGAAAGCCUGAUCCACCCAUACCGCGUGGGUGAAGAAGGCCUUCGGGUUGUAAAGCCCUUUUGUUGGGAAAGAAAAGCAGCAGGUUAAUACCCCGCUGUUCUGACGGUGCCCAAAGAAUAAGCACCGGCUAACUUCGUG